GGAUUCCCCUAGUAACUGCGAGUGAAGCGGGAAAAGCUCAAAUUUAAAAUCUGGCGGCUCUGUCGUCCGAGUUGUAAUUUAGAGAAGCGUUAUCCGCGCUGGACCGUGUACAAGUCUUCUGGAAGGAAGCAUCAUAGAGGGUGAGAAUCCCGUCUUUGACACGGACUGCCAGGGCAUUGUGAUGCGCUCUCAAAGAGUCGAGUUGUUUGGGAAUGCAGCUCAAAAUGGGUGGUAAAUUCCAUCUAAAGCUAAAUAUUGGGGAGAGACCGAUAGCGAACAAGUACCGUGAGGGAAAGAUGAAAAGAACUUUGGAAAGAGAGUUAAACAGUACGUGAAAUUGUUGAAAGGGAAACGCUUGAAGUCAGUCGCGCCGUUCAGGACUCAGCCUUGCUUUGCUUGGUGUACUUCUUGUUCGGUGGGUCAGCAUCAAUUUUGGUCGGUGGAUAAAGGCUCAGAGAAUGUGGCACCUUCGGGUGUGUUAUAGCUUUGGGUCGCAUACAUCGGCUGGGAUUGAGGAACUCAGCACGCCGCAAGGCCGGGUACUUGUACCACGUACGUGCUUAGGAUGCUGGCAUAAUGGCUUUAAUCGACCCG
rnacentral:sRNA from 1 species